rnacentral:lncRNA from 1 species
CAGCCUGUCAAGCUAGAAAUUGGUCGGAUAGAUCCACCGACUGUCGUUGAGAAGUUGACUGCUUAAUUCCAUUUAAGUAGAGAUCCCACGAUGAUUGUACAUACACGCCUUGGCGAAGAGCCUAGGCAGAGAAAAUCGAUGUUUAGAGCAGUGGCUAGUCUUACAAAUCUUGAUCACCUUCGUUGAAUGGGUCAAGACUAACGAUACCAGGGUUUUGACUCGCAUGUCUCCUCUGGAAGGAUGAUUUACUGAUAGAGCCUCUCUCGGAGGUACAAACAAGAUGCGUGAGCUGCCUGCUUUUUCUUAGGUUUUUAAUGCGCUGCACAUUACCCCGAGGGGUUCACUAUACUAUUCUCAUUCUUAACUCGCCGAGGAGCCGUUGAUUGACUCCUUGUGCGGUAUAAAUCAUGCGAGCUGAUUUUCACGCUCUCAUACUGGUUACGCAAAUCCUUGGACACGUAGCACACUGUUUCUGCCAACAUUGUAGGUUGUCGUAGGUACAGACAACCUAGUUUGACACUAGAUACCCUAAACUAAUCGCUUUGUUUGUGGUGUCAAACUAGGGUAUCUAAUAGAAGCGAAUACAGUAUGACGAAUUGACAUGUAUAACCUGAUGUGUAACCUAGUUAAAGAACUGUAGAAAGUCGAUUAUGCAGGUACUGAUACUUGUGAGACUGGUGGAACCGUUGAUAGACGCAUGCAUUGCGAUCCGAAGCUAUGUGAAGGCAAGUAAGUAUCUGGCACUUGGUGGAUUGACUUUUUAGGGCAUAAAAAAAAGGAGAUUCUGCGCAAAGAUGGAUGUGAGAGGUGGUCAGAUUAGAUCAUCCAAUUGUUCCAAGUGAAAGAGAUCCUCAAUCAUACUUGUAGGUCCCUUGCAUUAUUUUAGUUAUUACAAUGUUACAGAUUCGUCCUCUUGACAAUGUUGCCUUCUUUCAUCACCAUGAGUACAUGGGAAGGAUCUAAAAGAGACGAGAAGUUGUCAAGCAAGGGAUUGGUCUUGAGAGCUACGAGGUCUGCAUAGGCCCCCUGAGCUACUAUCCCAAUGUCGCCCUCCAUGUUGAACAAUUUUGCACAGGUGGUAGUUGCCGACCGGAGCGCAUUAGCAGGACUUUGAACUCCACACCGUAAAGAAAACUCUUGUAACUGGUACUUAUGCAUGGAACCCAAUAGGUCAGAUCCGAAACAUAUGUUCACUCCUUCCUUAUCUGCUAAUGCUAGCGCUUCUAAUCCUUUGGCAAGGAGAUCACUAACCUGUACAGGCAGGACACAGGUUCAGUAUCACCAACAGGGAAAGACUAUUGGUCAAUCAGAAGGAUAAUAGACAGUUGUAGGGGUUGACCUUUUCAACUUGAUCCUGAGGCAUUCCAGAUUCCUCACCAAUUCGCUUUAUACAAUCGUAAGUCACUAAGGUGGGCACCAGAAAGAAAUUCCUCCGCUUCAUAAGAUCUAUGCACUCCAGGUCGAUAUGCUGUCAAACCCGCACAACCAGCAAACGCAAAUCCAAUACUCAGAAUGAGUGAUACAUGACGACACGUAGGUACGAGGGAAAAAGAAUUAGGGGUAAAAUGAAAGAUACAUUGCCGUGUUCAAUGGAGCGGACGCCCAACUCUAGGCAACGCUUGAUCGCAGGUGCAGUGUACGCAUGAGCACACACAUAUUUGCCCGCAUGACGAGCUUCCUCUACAAUGGCUGAUAUUUCGUCUGCGGAGAACUGCACCCGAGCACAUCGUUAGUCGUAAAAAAACAUUUACACAAAGGAGAUGAUAAGACCGUUUGGUGACAUUGAGCACGUUGGGAUGGAAGGAUAGAGUUUCAAGGACCUGGAGGUUAGUAAGGAAAUCAGUUGGUGAGGAAACUCCACCAGAUGCCAUAAUCUUGAUGUGGUGAGCACCUCUACGAAGCUCUUCCCGAGCGGCCAACCUAACUUGGUCAACCCCAUCACACACUCUUCCCAGGGAUAUCGGACAACAGCUGGGUACCCUGUCUUCUCCGCGGAGUCGCAUAUCGCCAUGCCCACCUGUUUGUGAAAGUGCGCCUCCACAAAACAAUAUGCGCGGUCCUGGGAUCGUCCCUUCCUCCACUGCCUAAUUCAGAUUUCAAUGCGUGAAGCAUUAGUGUGGAAAACCCAGCGUGUUAAACACGAACUGGAGCACUGGAGUCGUACACUGGUGUUGCCAAGAUAGAUGCAACGCACCUUCGCAAGUCCCCAGUCGCAGCCCCCUGCAUCCCGCACGGUGGUGAAACCACGCAUCAACAUGUCGCGAAGAAUGAUCGUAGUGCGUGCGGUCACCAGACUAGGUGGCAGUACGAGCAAGUCAUGCAGGUUGGCUGACACCGCGGUCACAUGGACAUGAGCAUCGCACAGCCCUGGUAUUAUGUAGCCUCCCUGGAUGUCUAUCGUCUUCGCCAUUGCGGUUCCAUCGACGCAGUUCGAGAAGAGAGUCAGGAUGCAGAACAAUCUGGUUGCAAUUUCAUACGCAACUAUGCACCCUACUUGCUACACUCAGUUCUGAGAAUAAUGUAAUGGAGAAACGCAAAGAUGUAUAACCAAGACAUUGCCGAGGCGGAGAAAAGUAGGUACGCACCUGAGAUACAGAGACGGGGGGAGGAGAGUGCCCGACGUAUGAAAUCCGUUUGCCUUGAACCAAGACGUGCACUCCCAUAGCCACUUGAGCCUCUUCAGCAUCAUCAUCGUGCAUACUAAUGACAUUGCAAUUGCGCAACAACAAUCCUCCGGCACCAGGGCUGUCCGCAGCAGACUGCUCGCUGAGCCCCAUUCCUGUCCAGUGAGGUGAAUGCUCGGUAGAAUGGAAUUGGGGUUGAAGCAAUUGAAGAAAACGAACCUGAGAAUUCGACGAUUUGUCCAGGUGCUCAAAUUUGCCACCUCAGUGGGCGUCAAUGUACUCCAGAGUUACAUCCCCGGCAUCUACCCCGAAUUUCAAAAAUCUGGGAAAUGGAGAAUUAUUCUGAAGGUUUAGUCCUGGAGAAAUGCUGCUCCACAGAUCAAUGAAGGGCAUUUUCACCAAAGCAAUCCGGGCUGAGUCGCGAAUUUGAAGAUUGCACAAUUUGCGAGUUCGUCAAGUUUAUCGUGUACUAGCCUUGCAUGCAGCUGACGAGCGUCGAGAAGUAAGUCGCCUGGAAGUGGCUCAAACGAGUGGGUUCUCUCACCGUAUUCAUUCCUUUUGGGAGGUUAACACCGGGAGUGCAAAAGACUUCAGGAUUGGAAUUGAGAAACAUCACUUGUGGAUUUGGCAUGGAAAUUACGUUGUAAAAACGAGUGGUAUUCAGUUGAUUGAGACCAAAGUAGCCGCUUCUACACUGCAUCCAUUUUUGUACUUUUUGAAUGUGGCCCCUAAUUUAAAUCACUUGGAUCCAGUUUUUACUCUUGGUUGAAUAGGAUUGCUUCAUUGGGUCUGUAUAGCUCCUUUCGUGUUGCACCUUUUAUUGUGGGUUGACAAGUGUCACAAACCUUCUCGGUGCCCCUCACAUUGCCCAUGAUUGUACUCCUGCAGCUUUGAUGCUUUAUCAAUCAGGAGCCAUUCAUUUUUGGUUAUUUUAGAGUAUGGUAGCUCUUGGUUUAAACCAGAUCAGUGUAAGGGAGUGCACCAAUGAAGCGGAAAUCGAAAAUGCAAUAAAAUUGUGUACUCAAAAUGUCUGUUCGUAAAACGUACUUAUUUCUCUGAUAUCGGAAAAUAUCCUUCAUCAGGAACGAGUGAAGCUUCCAACAUUCUUCUCUUGGUGUCCUUCGUCGACUUUCAGUUUUGUUCUUCCUUGAUUCUCAACUUACUCAACACUACUGUUGACAUGAUUUAGGUUGUUCUUGAGUUCCUAUGUGCUGUGACUUUCUUCUUCACUAAGUCUAUCUUCUGCCUUACAAACUGCCAAAUCAACUUCGAGAACUUUUUUGUGAUGUGAUGACUAAUAAGAAUGUGAGAAGCUUCCCAUCAGUUUGAUUAUCUCACCUCAGUGGAUCAGAUCAGUGUAAUCAGUUUUCAAUUCGUGUCGGGGUCUCGUCACACAAGUUGAUUGACCUUCGUAGUUCGCUGAUGCAUAACUCUCUGACUUGCAAAAUCAUCGUGGCAAAGAACCUUUGUUUGCAGCAACUCCACGAAGUAUAAGUGCUGCUUCACUGAAAAAGGAGCAUGCAAGUGUACAUAUAUGAAUGUCAACGCCUUCUGUGUAAUCUGCAUUUGAAGAAGAUGCUCAGCGAUGGAUAGAAUACAAUAAUCUCAAGAUCUCACAGGAAUCGACAUGAGUUCGACAGGUUUUUUGGAUCAGCAACCAUGACAGAGUUUCUCACAGUCGGCGACUGUGCGAGACUUGCCUACUCUCCAGCGAGUUUAUACAUAGUGGCUCAUAUCUAUUUCCAACUUGUCUUCAGCCAAAUGGUUCUGACCUCAGGGCGGGCAGAUACGCGUGCGCGUUCUGCUAUCUCAAGUUGUUAGAUCCUCAGCUAUGAAUGCGAAGAAUAGUACCGACCGCAAUCUGUCGGAAAGUAUAAAACCUGGGUUUCUAACAUUGUCUCGGAGGAAUGAACAGCUUUCGCAAGAUCUGCAAAGAGUGCGCAGUCACUGAAAUCGUGCCAGUGGCAGAAUCUGGACCGGUGCUGAAGUCAAAAUUACAAAUAUUGUGCAAUAUGAUAUUUGUAUAUCUUGUAGUUUCAAACAUGAUUACAUAUUUUCCUGCAUCAUGUCAAGCGCUCAAUUGCUACAAUUGAGUUGUCCUUUUGUAAAAUCAAGAGUUCCUAGCAUACAAACCGAAAUAUGUGAAACCUUUUGUUCCUCAAUGAAAUUUGUAAACUCUUACAAGUUUAAUGAAUCCUCCCAAAAAAUCAUAACAGCUUUAAAAUAAUAAUCUGAUUUCGGGCAACAAUCUGAUUUCGGGCAAGCUGCAGUUCUAGCGAAAUCCUAAAAUCGCGAGCGCACCACGGAAACAUGAUUUGUGGGGCCGCGGAGUUUUCGAGUGAACAACUCACUGGUUCAGCGCUGUUCACGCCUCAUACUAUGAAAGCCGGCGCUUGGACACCCUAAACCUAGACUGUAGCCGCCUUCAGUUCCAGACACCCCGAAGACACAGAAACCAUCACCACAGUAGUUUUGAGUUAUUUAGCGAGUCUAGAUCUCUCAAAAUUCUGCCCAGCAUUAGUGCUCCCACUACAAAUAAAAAAAUAGUAGUUAUUACCACGAGACCCCAAAAACAAUUGGAUUUUUUAAUAUUUAAAAGGCUGAGAAUUGACCUGUGAUUUUUGACUCAGAAUGGGCAGUGCUGGAUGUCUUCGCAUUGGCCCACAGGAUCCUGAUUACGUCACAAUAACAAGUUUGCCACUUUGACUAUUUACAGAUAUAUUCUUUGUAAAGUUCUGUGCAUGCUGAAUGUUGAGACAGAAGCAAUGAAUUCAACCGAUGUACAGUGAAACCCUCUACGCCCAAGAGAUGUUCAGUAAGCAGCCUCAUUUCUUCAAGAGUAUGUUCGGAUUCUUGCUACGAAGCGGUGAACGAGUCCAUGCUCGGGAAUUAAGGUGGUCUACCUAGAGUGCUCUUCUAUUUGCUCACACUGUGUCUGCUUGGAUAGAGUAUGUGGCUGACAAUGUACUAGUUAGUCCAACGGAAUGCAUGAUAGAGCGGUAUUAGCCCGUCAGGCGAGUCAAAGGCCAGCUAUAGGUCGCAUAUCAAGGCUCAUGGCAGGUAUCCAAAAAUGUUGGUGGUGAUAACCCUUAUCUAGAAGAGAGAGCACACUUCCUAGAUCCUGCUGAAGGUCGUAGAAGAUAGGAAAUGUGAAGUUUAAAGGUCAGGAUUUUGCCUACUCCACCAGAGUUAUUUACAUCACAAAUUAGCGACGACCUGAUAGCAGCUACAGUGAGAGUAAGCCGGGCUUUCGAUGCGGAUGCGUGAAGAGCGGAGACUUACUUAAAAUACUAUAUCAAGGCUUUUGUCAUUGUUCGAUAACAUCGAGAAAAGUAGAUCCCGGCGUUCAUUCCAAAGUCUCAGCGUAGAAUACUUGAAUAUCAAAUCUUUAGCAAGUGUCUUCUCAAACAUAUUUGACAAGGAUUUCCGCAGAGAUCGAGUUAGAUUUAAUACUGAAAUUCUAUUGAUAUCACAGUUAACACUUCAACAUCGUAACGUAACACGCAUUCGGCAAGUAUUAAGCACUCUCCGCCAUGGCCAUACAAAGAAACCGAAAGACGACCCAUAUAUGCUUUGAACUAAUUCUUUAAAAAUGUUAACAAUAAAUGUAGUAGGCUACAUUGUGGUGAGCAACUACACAUGAAAAACAACCCAAACGUCACAAACCUACAUCUCAUCCUAAAUAAUCUGCCGCCGAAAGAUAGAGAUGCCGCCGGAUUUGCUAUCGAAAAGCUUGUCCGCCAGACAAUGGAGUACAGAAUUCUAAGGUCCUCUACUGAUUAGCGAGUACCUCCAAGAUAAGAUCAGUAGCAUUGCCAACCGUCACGAUCUUGUCAGCAUUCUCCUGCUCAAGUUGAAUGUCGAACUUCUCCUCAAGGGCCAUCAUGAUCUCCACAGUGUCCAACGAGUCAGCACCGAGAUCAACAAACUUGGAGUCGGGAGUGAUGUCAGAUUUCUCGCAGUCCAGCUGCGAGGCAAUGAUCUUCUGAAUGAUAGUGAAGGUAUCCUCUCCGGCAGCAUCCGUCACGGGAGCGUCCUCUCCCUUUCCGGCAGCCUACGCAACAAAAAUAAAUACUAAUGAGAAACACCACAUUAAAAUACAAGCAAGGAACGGACUUUCACCAACAAGAAAGCAAAAAGGAAUGAACAAGAGGAUUCGGGACGCACAGCAUCGGCACGGAUGCAGGGCACCAUGCGGGAGUGGCUGGAAACGACGGCGAAGCGGGGGAAGGCGACAAUGGAAGACACGGCGCGGGUGGGGCGGAGGCCGGAGAAAGAGAAGCUCCUAGGCAAGGCCACGGAGGUAGCAGCAGCGGCGGCAACGGCAGCAAGGGAAGCCAUGGCGGCGGGUAUAGGAAGAAAGCGAAGAAGAGAAAAGAGUAAGAGAAUGAAGGGUGAGGGUUCGCGAGGAGUGGAGCGAGCAAAUGAGACCAGACUUGUGGCCACGCGAGCACAUAAAACCCCGACGCAGCGAUGUAGUCGAGGGCGGAGGAGAGGGGGGCCACUCAGGCACUGGAAGAGAUGCCCAAUCUGGCUGUACCGCGACAACCCCUGCCGCUCCGUUUGAUGCUCCGUUUCCUGCUCCGAUCGAGGUCAUGCACAGUAUCGUCGCGCACUGUUCUACGUAUCAUUGCGUCGCGUUGAGGGGCCCUAUCCUCUCACGUCGCGGAUCCAGCGUCUGUCCGUUGGGCAUCCGGGAACUUCGACCAUCCAGCCACAACCAUUCAUUCGUCUAUGCAUCCACAGGAUGUUGAUAUUUCAUUCAUCUAUUUAAAAGUCCCCGUGGCCUCUCGCGCUCCCUGGGGCUUUUGCAUUUUGGUGCUUAAGCAGAGUUGUGAUGGAUGAAAGGAUGGAAGGCUUUCUGCAAACUUUUGCUUUCUAUCCGUAUUUGUGUUUAACUUUUAUGAGAUAGGAUUGUUUCUUUUGCUGCCUCAUAACAGAAUUGUGAGUGUGUUUUUGUUCUCAAAGCUCACUCGGUAGAAUAAUACUUUUAUUUAGUCCUACUUGUGUCAGUAAUCCCACAUACGGUUAAGAUGACUUUUUGUAGUACAAAGUUAAUGGCUUCAAUGAAUUUGUCACAUACACCAUAUGUGCGCAUGUGUACAAUAUAUGGUUUAGUGCAAUUUGUGUAAGUAAUAAUUUGUUGUUGUUAUCAAUGAAUUUUAAUCUUGUUAAGAAAACAAGAUUUUUGGAGUAAGCAUAAUGAUAUGACAUCAAUUGAUGAACCUGCAGGGGUGUGAUUUUGGAACUAGAUAAUCUUAGGGCAGUUUGGUGGCACACAAUAUAUAUGAAAACCAAUGAAAAGGAUUAUAUAUAACUUGUGAUUAUUAAAUAGAAUGAUCACAUUUGUUUUUAAUACAAUUUAAAUCAUAGAAGGUAACAUGUUGAAAUAAUUUUUGCACUUAAAAAAUUAUUUAUUUUAGUUGUUAUAUAGCAUUGUUGUAUGUUUUUUUCUUAACUCGAGAGACCUUAGGAGUAAGCGGUUGUUUUUAUCAAAGGUAAUAAAAAAAAAUUCAAUGAUUGACUACAUUAUAAUUAAGUUUAUCAUACUUAUCAAUCUCAUUAGCAUAUGUAUAUGGACAAUUAUUGGUAACACUCAGAUUAUACUGAACUUCUUGGUUUAUUAUUAAAAAAUUGGUUGCUUAAAUAUAGAUCACUAUAUUAAAAAAUGUUAUCUUUGUUAAUAGUUAUGUUUUUUAUACAAAAUUAAUUAACAUGAUUGAAUAUAUAAUAUAAUUUAUUGCAAUCCAUAAACACGUGAUCUGAUUAAAUAAUGAUAAUGACAAUAAUAAUAAAAGCACAAUGAUAGAACUUAUAAUUACUUUAAAAUAGUAUAAUAAGCACUUAUAUAUAUAUAUAUAUAUAUGUAUGUAUAUAUUGAAAGAGAGACACACUUCUUGUAAAAAUUUUACACUAAACUCUUAUCAAAAUUAUUAAUUGUUAAUUAAUCAUCACAAUAAUAGUUUUAUUUAUUAUCUUAUAAUUAUUUUAGAAACAAGCUAAUUUAAAAAGAAACAUAAAUUUAUAGUUAUAAAUAUGAUUUUAAUACAGCAUUAUUAAUUGAUUUUCUAUCUCUUUAUAAGAAUCAAUAACAUAUACAAUAAAAUUACAUAAGUUCAAUUGCUUAAAAUACUAUAAGAUUAGUGAAUAGAUGAUAAUUCAUUUUAAUAUAAUUUAUAAGAUAUCAAAAUCUAUUUUAUUUGUUAGGGUGUCAGAAAAAAAACUGAAUCAAUUUAAUAAAUCAAAACUUUGUUUAAGCAAAAUCAAAAUUAAAAAAUAUAAAGGCCUUGUUUCAAUAACCAAAAUACUUGAAUUUAAAAGUGGUGGAAUUUGUAUGCAUUAUAUUUAAUAUUAGUACAAAUAAUAAUAAAAAGUAUUAUCGUUGCAUAAAAUUGAAGAUAUCUAUAUAUAUACAUAAAUUUAUGUAAAAGAUUGAAAAUAUUACAAAAAUCAUAAUUUCUCUGAUAACAUUAUGAAAAGAAAACAUAAUGAAUUGAUUAUACUGUGUGAUUUAAUUAUAGAAUGUUACAUUACAUAUUUUUAUUAUUGAUGAAAAAUACAAAUAUAAGUAGAAAAAAAAACAUUCCAUAAUAAAAUGCAAUGAAUAUAUAUAUAUAUAUAUAUAUAUAUACCUAAUUUUCUUUCUAUUCAAAAAAUGGGUUGAUGGAUUUAACUAUAUAUACAUGUAUAUAUUAGCAAUGAAAAUUGGAGAUAAGUUAAUGUAUUAAAAACAAAAAUAUUGAAUUUUUAUUUUAGAAUUAUUUUAUAAUGAUACAAACAGAAUAUUAAAUAGUACAACUAGUAAAAUAAUUUAAUUAAUAUUGCUGGUAUAUAAAAUUAAAGUGAAUUAGAAGGUACACGUAUAUAUAUAUAUAUAUAUAUAUAUAUAUAUAUAUAAGAAUAUUUUUUAAAUUAAAAAUCAAAAUCAGAUAAAAAAAUAAUAUUUGUUUUCACUCUAUUGAAUCAUCAGUAAGUAAGUAUAUAUAUAUAUAUAUAUAUAUUUGAAAUUCAAAUCUAACAUUCUGUACAUAUGGCAAAUUUAUGUUGUGAAGCUUUGCUAAAUUUUUAACAUUUAUUGAUUUUUUGUAAUUAUUUUAACAUAGAUAUAUUAUAAGUCCUGAACUUCUAAUCUAUUUCUAUUAUUAGAAUAUAGUCUUAUUACAGCUUUUUUUUUGAUAAAUUAUCAACCACAUUUAUAAAUGUAGUUGAAACAUUAAAUCUAUUUUUCUUUUCAAGGAUAAAAUUUAAUUGCCAACAUAAAAAUUUAAACCAUGUAAUUUUUUAGAAUAUAGUAAAUAAUAGUAAAUUAAAUUAUAAAAAGUGAAGAAAAAUAUUAAAAUUUUGAAAAAAUUUAAAUUUAAAUUUAAUGCUCUCAAUUCUCACAAGAAUUUAAUUUAGAUUCAUUAUUGAAUUACAGAGUGAAAAGGAAAUUCAACUAAUUUUGAUGACUUAAAAAGCUUUGAACAUGGAAGACAUGCUUGUAAUAUAUGUGUAGAGUAUCAAAAGAUCUUACACAUGUAUAUGUGUGUAAUUAAUAAACAUAUGCUCAUGUUAACAUUAUGUAAUAGAUGCAUAUAUUACUCACUUAAAUAGAAGUAAUUAUAAGCAGGUAGCAACAUAUAGGAAUGAUAGUAUCUUUCUUGAGAAGCUUUAAUGAUGUCUUGUAUAUCCAAAUUAAAUAUUUAACAUUUUACAAUGUACCAGGGGGGUAUUAAAACUUGUCUCAUAAGUUUCAUAUUUUUAGAAAGUUGUGUUGGGAGCAACCUACUUUAUGCAUAGAUUGUAAACAUCAAUCUAAAAUUUAAAAUUGUAAACAUCAAUUUAAUAUUUAAUCCUAUUUUGAUCACCAUUUUUUAAAGAAUCAUUAAGCAUAUAAUAGAUUCUUUUUAAAUAUAGUUUAAACUUGUUGAUUUCAAGUAAUAUCUUUAAUAUUCAAAUUUAAGUAAAAACUAUAUUGAUACAAGGUUGUAUUAUAUAAAUUCUUCUUUAAAAAGAUAUUAAAAAGUAGUUUUAGAAAGAUAAAUAUUCAUGGCACCAUAAUUAUCUUGCUAUUGAAAAAAAAAAAAAUAGAAACUAUAAUCUUAUUCAUAAUCUAAAAUUUUCAAAUAUUAUAAAUCCUAGAGUCUAUAAAUUCUUAAGAAAUCCUAACAAAUAUUAAAUUUUAAUGAAUAAAUUUUAAAAAUUAAAAAUUUAUAAUUGGAUUAUUACAUUUAUUAUAAAAUUUAGAUAGUAUUAUUUAUAUUUUAUAUUCAUCUAGUUGAAAACUUAAAUUUGAUUCAACUAAUAAACAAAUACAUGUUGGAAUUGAAUCUUUAUUGUUAUUAUUUGAUAUUUUACUUUUAACAUUAAAAAGACCUUCAAUCACCAAUUAUUUUAAUCUAGCCAUUGCUCUUUUUAAAACUUAACAUAUAACUUGGUCUUAUUUAUUUUAUUAAUAUCUUAAAUAAUGGUUUUGUUUGAUUUAUAUAUAUAUAUAUAUAUAUAUAUAUAUAUAGAUUUUCAAGAGUUGUUUAUUAAUUUUAAAUUAUUAAAUUAUUAAAUUAUUAAAUUUUCUUACAUGUAAUUAAAAAAGUUAUACAUAUUUUUAAAAUAUAAAAUAUUUAAAUAAUUUAGUAUUUUCUUAUACAUUUAUAUAAUUAAAAAUAAAUUAAAAAUAAAUAAAUCAUAAAAAUAUCAAUAUAUAUAUAUAUAUAUAAUAUCAUUUUAUUAUUGUCUUUAAAACUUUGGUUUUUAUUAUCUUUUUAAUGGUAUUUUCUAAUUUUUAAUUUAUUAGGUCUCACAAACUUAGAAUUAUUUUAAAGCCAAUUGUAUGACUACACCUCCCAAUCUUCUAAAACCUCCUUGUUUGCAAAAAAAAUUUGUUUUUGUCCUUUAGUAUUAGAUUUUACCUUGUCUUUCAAAUGGUCAUUUAAUAGAUAUUAGUUCUACCAAGUAUAUGGUGUAUUCAUUGGAAUCUAAUUCUAAUUGGGCAUAGUAGUAACUAUGUUAUUUUUUCACUACCUUUACUUGAUCUUAAUUUAUUUUAAAUUAUAUUAGAAUAUUUUUUAUUUUUAUUUUAAAUAAAAAAUAUAUAUUUGAACAAAAGCACAAUAAUUAAACUUAAUUUACUAGCUACUAUGAUUUAAGAAAAUAUAUGUAAAACUUAUAAUAAAUUCUCUUUAUGUUUUAUGAAAAAUUACUAACCAUUUUACUAAGUUUUUAUGCUAUUGUUAUAAAAACCUAUAUUAUUUAAGUAAAUAGAAGGAAGUAUAAGUAAGUAGAUAUGUAUUAGGUAUAUAAUAUCUUUAUAAAUUAAAUAAGAGAGAAUUUCUCAAAUAUGGAUUAAAUAUUUAGAGUUCUAUACAUAUGACAUGUGGCUAUUAAAACUUAUAUUGCAAGUUUCUUAUUAUAAGAAGUUAUUCAAAGCAACUUACAACUUGACCUUUGAACCAUAAGCUUUGUGGUUUUUAAAAACUUCUUUGCCACCUUUUUAUUAGCUAGUAUGUACAUAGAAGGAAGACUGAGGCUAUUCUUUAUCUUGUCAACACCUUUCUUAUAUUUAAGUCUUGGCUUGAGAUUCUUUGGUUUCUUUGUCAUUAAAAAUAACUAUUCUAGUUCUUUAUCUAUUUUAUAUUUAUUUCUUCUUUAUUUAUUUAAUUUUCUUUCAAUGUCACAAGAUUAUGUUGUCUUCUUAGGAUUAUUUUCAGAUUUAUAUCCUUGAAAAUUGCAAUAUAGCAACAAAUUCUAAAAUUGAUGGUUAUAUUGAAUAAUAAAUAAGAGAUUAAAAAUAGUGACUAAUCUUAGUAUUAAAAUGAUUUAAUAUAUAUUAAAAUUAUACUAUAGUAUUUUACUUAUAUGGAAGAAAUUAGAAAGAUACAAAAUCUUUAGAAACAAUAUGAAAUAAAAAUAAAAAAAUUUAGGAUUUAAUAAAGAAUAAAGACAAAUCAUAGUUAAAUAUGACAUUUGUGUUGUAGGGGCAUGAGUGAUUCUAAAACUAGAUGCAUCUAAAGGGAUAUUUUGUUAAAAUUCUUGGCUCUCUUUUUGUUUGUUCAAAAGAAUGUAUAUCAAGUCAAUCUUCAACAAAGUUUUAUUAAUUCUAAAACACAAUUCCUCAUUGGACAAAAAAGUCUUUGGAACAUUUAUAAUAAAAGUUCUUCUAUCUAAAACAUUAUGGUUAGGAUGUGUUUGUCUAUAUAUUCCAAUUUUGUUCUCAUAGAUCCAAAUAUGAUUCAAAGUGCAAUGAUAUUGCAAAAGAUAAAGAAAUAUUUGGAAUCUAAUUCUUUUAUAAAAAAUAAUCUAAUGCGGAUAAAAAUAGAAACGAGUAAAUGAUUGUGCAGCCAUAAUCAUAUCUCUGGCUAUUAUGCCUUAAUCAUAUUUUUACAAUUUUUUUACAAUUAGACUUCUAAACUUCAAGAGAAAUUAAUCAUAACAUCAAAUUCUGUUAAAUAUACGCAGACCAGCGUAUACAUCAUACGCUAUACACACAUACGUUUGUACACAGGAACAAUACAUAUAAUAUACACAACAAAAUACGAUCGACUAGGAGGGGGCGAGGGCGGCUCCGACGUGAUGCGAGAUGUGCAGCGAAUUUAAGCUUCUGAGUCGGCUUCUGGGGCGUCGUCGUCGACGAAAUCGCGUGGUUGAAGCACCUCGUGCUCCAGAGCGAGCAUUGUUACGCCUUCCGUAGCAGGAGACGGAAAAAGCAUUGCAAUUGGAGAGAGGGAGAGAGACGAGUUUCGUUGGUGGGGUAUCGUCAUCGUCGCGAAAGUCGCGGUGAUCGUGGAUUCGUCAGCUGCGAAAUGAGCAGACGAGGUGUUGUGAUCGCCAUCGUUGCUUCACCUCAACGGAAGAGGAAAGGCACUGACAGGUACUUGCCUUUUAUUCUUGCCGAUCGCGUCGUGCGGGUUUUCGUCAGUUGGAAACACCACGUGGGGCUCCGUUGUUGUCAUUCUGGGGACUUGGGCCUUUGUGUCCUGAUUGCGCAUCCUUUUGACUCUCCUGCUCUCUCUUAAUCUCUCUCCGUCUUCGCUGAGUUCCUCCUAUGUCACGCUGCGCGUCACCCCCCACCCUCCAUCCCUUUGUGUCGUCUGUCCCUUCCACUCCUCGCUUAGUUUCUCUUCCUCUCCACCCCGCUCUGAAUUCGCCACAUCUGCUCUUGUCAUGCGUGGUCUCCAAUUGCCUCUUGGAACUCAAUGUCUGCCGUAGGGUUCCCUGUUUAAAAUGUUGCCGAUGUAAAUCACGACACACUGUCGACGAGCGGCUCGCGUGUGCUGGGUUCUUGGAGAUCUUGUGGUGUCAGCUGCCUCUGUACCACGUGCUUUUUGUGGAUAUGGCAUUUAUUACCUUGUGAGGUUCGUGUGCAACCUCUGCCAUUUCGAGAGGUGCAAUGGGUGUUGUGUUAGAGCAAUUGCCAUUUUAUGGAUAGUUUCCCAAUGAUUACAAUGCUGUCAAUUACGCCCUCUUUUCCGAUGGUAACAUUGUCCUAUGUUCCUGGACCCUGCGGUGGGUUGCUAAGUGCAUAUAUUGUAUGCCAAUGACCAUCGGUGUUGGAUCGGAAGCUGUACAGCAGGACUUUGCCCUAAUUUGCUAUUUAUCUUCUCGAAGUUCUGUGGUCUUUUCGCGACGAGGGUUGGACAUCUUGCAGUAGACCAGUUCUACUCUAUUGCAGAGGCUGAAAUUGAGAUUUGCCCAUACGUUCCAUAGUGCACAAUUCGAGAUCCAGCAGAUGCGAUGAUUGUUUUCCCAACUGGCUCCUUUUGGGUCCUCUGGAAUCUAAAUGCAUCAGAUAGAUCUCUUGAAGUCCGUUCUUUCGCUGUGAACGAUGUGGGAAAGAGCAACCGCAAUUCAGUGUUGUGGCAAAUUUUGACUUUCGCAUGCAUUUGGGAAUGUAAUGAUCUCAUGAAUGUGAGGUAUUCUUGUAGAAGGAGCUGUAGGGUGAAUGCACAGAUAGGUUAUGAACAGUAGAAUUGUAAGCACGGUGGGAGAUUUGACAAUCUCAUUGAUCUCCUUUGAUUUUGCAGUUUGGUGUGCUGCUAAGGAUCUUUACGACUCCUUCCGUUGCAGAGAUAUAACCCUCAGGAGGUCUCAAUGCAGUUAGUGAGAGAUCCUCAUGCCUAUUCUCAAAUAGGAGCACCAGUCCGAAACCGGAUGUAGUCCAAUUGCAUUGUCGCCCGCACCAUGUCUUGGGUUACAGGCUGGAAGAGGCAGGUGGAUACGUUCCACCUGACUCUUGGCUACGGUGACCAGGUCCAAUCUCCCAAUCUGGAGUUGCUCAAGAAUAGCCAGCAUUUGAAGUCCGACAUCGGCAGCGACCUCCUCUCGUCUUGCAGAUAUCGGGUUGAGCUCGAUUGGUCAGCUGGCGACGAUGAAGAUCAAGUGGUUCUGAAGCUGCAGUCCCUAAUUAUGAUAACACUGCCGGCUCCUCAAGACGACAUCCAUGUGUCGUUUACACUCACGCCACCAACAAAUGAGGAAUCGGGAAAUCACGUCGAAAAUGAAACCUUCAAGAAUGUACAAAUUAAAAUGGAAGUACAGAAGCGGGGGGAGCUUCUCCGCGUUGUGUCACUGUCGAGGACAGUGGGUUCAGGACCAUCAGGAGAUGGACUGAGUGUGCUGACAAGGUUGGUCGCACCAGGAUCAUCAGUUGACCACGUUCCAAGAGCGACUGUUUCUGAGGAACUUUUGGGCUGCAGUCGGAACUAUCGAUCCAUUACCAUUCUCAAUCUCUCAAAUUGCUUCCUUACUGUAAGCUCCGGUGUGACUUUUUCAAUCCAUAGUGUUUGUAACGUUCCUUCGUUUAUCGCACGGUAAAUGCAUUACGUGGUCUGUACUUUCUGUGCCGUGUCAUCAAGACUUGCUUUCCAGGCGCUUCUUUGGGCUCCGAGUACGAUCCUGUAGCGUUAGCAUCACGAAUCCAAUAUUAGUUGUGAAUAUUACCAACAUUACCUGCGUCCUGGCUUGAAUCAGGCUUUGCAAGGUUUGAGUUGCUCAUGGCUAGAAUAUCUGCCGAGCUCUCCUUGCAUGUUGCUCAAAACGUUGUGGUUGUGAAUAUGCAGACCAUACCUUCAGACUUGAUGAAGCUGCCAUUGCUAGAAAAAUUAUACUUGGAUAACAAUAAACUCACACUAUUGCCUCCAGAAGUUGGACAGCUCACACGGUUGCAAGUGCUUCAAUGUGACCAUAAUGCACUUGUGUCUGUUCCAGGUAUUCUGCGAAGCCUCAACCCUCGCCGUAAUGGUAGAAUUACGUCUGUUUUCUUUUUCAGUAAUUUUGUCUGGUCUGUAAAUACGUCUUACAUGGUAAUGUGUUGCAGCCGAGCUUCGGCAAUGUAUCGAGUUGGUGGAGCUUUCACUCGAAUACAACAAGCUAGUUCGCCCUUUAUUAGAUUUCAGGUGAGCAUCUACGUGCUUUUGAACUCGAUUUGCUUAAAAAUCAUACCUGUGUUUGACCCAGUGUAUUGAGUUACCAUACUCAGAGGUAAGACUAGGCGGAAACUAGCCUGAAUUUUGAGUGGAGGUAACAUGUGUUAUUGUGUGAGUGAUCGGAGCCUACGUAAAGGCGAUGUGGCUUGGAACUGGUAUCAGGAAUUGCCAUCGAAGACUGUCACCAAGUGUGCAUGGUUUCCAAGUAUUCUCAGAGUUGUGGAGCUUCACGUAGGAUAACAGGGAUUCUGAUGGAGGGUCUAUUCUGGUGCCCUCAUUAUCAGGGCUAUGUCCAAGCUACGAGUAUUACGACUUUUUGGCAACCCUCUGGAGUUUUUACCAGAAAUAAUUCCUUGCGCAAACUUGCGUCAUCUGUCUCUUGCCAAUGUCCGCAUCGAGGGUGAUCAAGAUCUCUCUACCAUCAAAGUUGACAUUGAGGUGUGCUUUUGCAACUUUGGCUUGCGGUUGUCGUGGUGACCAAUCUUGUCAAGUUUGAAGUUGUGGACUUUACUAUUUAAAGUUGGUCCAAAAUUUAUGUUAUUGUUCGUUUCCUAAUCUAGUGACAAAUGAAGUCAUGACCGUAGCCAGAGGGGUGAGUUAACUGGAUUGCCAGUGCCCUGUUUGCUGUCGCCCUUCACCCGUAAUCGCGGCUUCAAAUUAUUUGGUCAUAGUGACCUAUUGAAGGAAACGAGGAGUAUAUGUAUCUAGAGUUGCAUAUAUGUAUAUAAGAAAAUUGAUGAGAUUGGUAGGGAUGAAAACCUCUUUUUUGAUUUUUUACCAAUCUCGAUGCAGGCUGAAGCAGCUUCGUAUUUUGUGGCAUCGAAACACAAAUUGAGUGUGUUUUUUGCUCUCAUAUUCCGGUUCUCAUCUUGCCAACAUCCGCUGCUAGCAUCUGCUUUGGCAAAGAUGGCGCAAGAUGAUAGCAAUCGGUCUGUCAUUGGCAAGGACGAGGGCGCUCUCCGUCAACUUCUUAGCAUGAUGCUUAGUGACGAUCCUCACGUGGUUGGUUAUGCUUCACCGAAGUUCAGUGUAUCAUUACAGUUUUGUUUAAAUGUAACAGCUUUUGUAGUAGUCAUUACAAACCUCUAUUGUUACAUUUUAGUCUACAUUCUUAUGCAUACAUUGUGCUAAGCAUGUGCUGGCGUCUCUCUUUGUGAAGGUGGACCAAGCGUGCGUAGCGUUGGCAUCGCUUGCUGUAGAUGGAGCAGUGGGAGUCCGCUUGAUGCGGGCAGAUUUGGUGCAAGCUAUUGAGAUGGUGUUACGGAACACAAGCAAUGAAGACGAAUUGCUUAUAUCUGUUUUGCAGGUCCUGAUGAAUUUGGCCUUUACUUCUGAUGCUGUUGCAUCUCGCGUCCUCACAAAGGAGAUACUCAAGCGACUUAAAAUAUUGUGUGUUCAUAGAAGUCCCGAGGUUUGUGCUAACCAUUCCAGAGUAGAAAUUUGUUCCACUCUUGAUGCGAUUGAUUCUUAUCACUAAAUGGUCAUUCAGUGUAUACGAACGUUAAUUGGAUAUUAGCUCUUCUCGGGUAUCUAUGAUAUUUGAACCUGUUGAAGCGUAUUGAGUCAUCACACACUGAGUGGCCCUGUGUUGCUUUAUGCUCAAGCAGGUGCAGCGACAUGCUCUUCUGACUGUAGGUAACCUAGCAUUUUGCUGGGAAAACCGACGUACCUUAGUUGCAUCUGAAAGUUUGAGAGACCUUCUAUUACGUCAAGCUUCUGGCACCAAUGCAAUAGUAUGUAAAGCUGCCGCUCGAGCAUUGGCCAUCCUUGGUAUGUUCCUCACAAUUGUGUGCACCAAACCAGCGUUGUUCUUAGCAUGCAUCAAAUCGCUUUUACUCUUAUUGAUCUUCUCUGUUUUUGCACAGUUGUUGAAAAUGCACAAGUGUCCUUCUGUUGAUGUUCAGCUCCUUUUUCGUUACCUGCAUGCUUAUAGCAGCUUUUAUGAAAUGAGUAUAUUGUUAUCCUGUUUAGUUCGAAUUUUGUUAAUUAUUGCUCUCUAAACGUCCUAGGAUCCUUUUGAGCGUUUACGAGGGUCAAGUGUAAGUUGUUCCGUUUGCAUGCAGGUGAAAAUGAGUACUUACGGCGAGCAGUGCGGGGCCGGCCCAUAUCCAAACGAGGGUUGCGGAUUUUAUCUAUGGACGGUGGGGGCAUGAGAGGAAUGGCCACUGUACAGAUGUUGAGGAAUAUUGAGAAGGGAACAGGUCGAAGAAUUCAUGAGAUUUUUGAUCUUAUCUGUGGCACAUCUACUGGUGGGAUGCUUGCUGUGGCUUUGGGUAUUAAGCGUAUGGACCUUGAUCAAUGCGAAAACAUUUACAAGUCGUUAGGUAAACAAUGUAGAUUUAAUUGUUUACUUAUUUAUUUUUGGGAGCUUUCUAUCUUCUCUUCAUUUUUCAUUUUCCUUUCAACUGAUUCUUGUUAAUCAUAUUAUGUAAUAGUUCUCCGGUUAACAAUUGUGAUCAAAACACUAAUGGUAGCUGUAAUUUCUAACCUAUUCAGUUUCCUCUACUUUGAUUAGGUUUUUGUCGUGUAGACCCUGUUGAGCUACAUCAGUUGUGAUAGCAUUGUUAAUGGCGGCUGCAGGUAAGUUGGUAUUUGCCGAGCCAAUUCCGAAAGAUAAUGAAGCAGCCACAUGGCGCGAAAAGAUUGACCAGGUCUACAAAAGCUCGUCACAGAAUUUCCGUGUCGUGGUUCAUGGCUCAAAGGUAGCUAACUUCAUAUGUAACUCGUACAGUAGCUAAAGAAGAUUAAUGUUUACGAUCAAUGUCUCACUCUUUAUUUACAUGUCUGCAGACUUCUUCACCGUGUUGUAUGUCUGCUCAUUCACUGAACCUUCUGAUUUCUGCUUCGUAAGUUGAGUUCAUUGUGGCUCUUCAACGUUCAAACGUGGUCGAGAGACAUUGAUGGGGCAUUCUUGUGGGCUUCAAAACAGCACAAUGCGGAGCAAUUUGAGCAUUUGCUGAAAGAGAUGUGCGCAGAUGAGGAGGGGGAUUUACUAAUUGAAUCAGCAGUGAAGGGCGUUCCAAAAGUCUUUGUUGUUUCUGCUCUUGUUAGUGUGACUCCUGCUCAGCCGUUUGUGUUCCGCAAUUACCAGGUAUAGGAUUUUGCCACAAAUAUUAUCUUCUCUUCUUUAACUGCCUUUUUAAUAUUUUUAUUAUUUGUAGUUUGGACGAUAAUAUCUGCUUCGUCUUCUUCCAGUUCUAGCUUUAUGUGCCCCGUAGUUGCUAUGAAAGAAUGAGUUCUCUUCAUAAUUGUGAUCGUGGGUGUAGUAUCCUCCAGGAACUCCUGAAACAGCACCCUCGACAAACGAUGGGCCGGCAGCCUCAGUUUCUGGCACUCCGGCCACCGCCACCCCAUUAACCACUCAAGUAGGACCACGAAGAAGUGCCUUCAUAGGUAGCUGUAAGCAUCGAAUAUGGGAAGCUAUUCGUGCAUCAUCUGCAGCUCCCUAUUACCUCGAUGACUUCUCACAAGGUAUAUUACCGUUCAUGAUAGCAGUACAAUACGUGUGUGAGCAUUGGUUUGGUUAGCUGUGGUUUUAGAACCGGAGGUUACUAAAUUUCAAAAUUCAUUAUUUUGGGUGCUGGCAGAGUCCAAUCGGUGGCAAGAUGGUGCAAUUGUUGCCAAUAAUCCAACCAUUAUUGCCUUACGUGAAGCGCAGCUUAUAUGGCCUGACACUCAAGUUGAUUGCCUCGUCUCUGUGGGCUGCGGUAAUGUGCCUACAAAGGUGUGUACUCUACUAAGCUUUCACGUCCAUGAAGAUCAUGUCUUUUUCUUAAUUAUUUAUCAUGUGAAAAUGUGAUUGGCUCUCUACUAUGUAAUCCAAAGUCAUUCGAUUUAAGUUUUGUAGUUUAGGUUCAAAGUUGGCACGUUAUAUUGGCCAUGUCUAAUGUUGUGCAUUUUUUGGUCAUCCUUGAACCAGCUUUUCCCUUUAAUUGACGUCAAACCUCAGUUUGAUAUAUGAUCAACGCUAUUUCAAGUUCACCAAUUUUAAAUUCGUUAAAUAAUACCUGUAGGCACGCGGCAAAGGAGGAUGGAGAUACCUGGACACUGGCCAGGUACUAAUUGAGAGUGCCUGCUCUGUUGAGAGGGCGGAAGAAGCUUUAGACACUCUUCUGCCCAUGCUUCCGAACCUUCAGUAUUUUCGCUUCAAUCCGAGUAAGAAAAUAUAAUUCAUUCAGUCUACUAUAACCAUUACAGUAAUAUACGGUUAAUUAUUUAAGGCAGAAAGUUAUUUUUGGUUCGAAGGUACUAAGCUUUUCAUGUGAAAUCGUGUACGAUCUUUGCACUAUACGUAAGUGGUUGUUUUGGCUCAAAGAGUAAUGUGAAUCAACCCUUGCCCUUGAAUAUCUGUGACAUGUCAUGCUUUCUUCUGAAUAUGCUCAUUAACACUGCAUGUCAAUCUACGCAUGACUGUCGCUCUGAACAUUCGUUUGGUGCAGUUGACGAUAGGUGUGACAUGGAGCUUGAUGAGACGGAUGCUGCUGUGUGGUCAAAGUUGGAAACCGCCACUCAGGAAUAUGUGGAUGCAAAUGCUGCCGUAUUCCAGGCUGCGUGUAAUGUACUUUCACCACCACCGCAAGCAGACGGUCUCUGGCAUGACAAAGCUCGCUCUACACGAGGGGGUACCAGAGGCUCACAGCUUGGAAAAGGUUUGUUGCUUUUUAAUUUAGAAUUAUGCUACUUUUUCUACUCAGUGUCAUAGUAUCAUAGUGUAACAGUAUACUUCUGACCUUGCAAGAUGCCACUUUGCCUUCAUUUCUUACUACAAGCAUCAUUUCGAAUGCAUCGGGAUGUCAUGAAAUCUUUUGUGAAAUUUCUUCUUAUAUAAUAUGCAACUCGUAAAUCUUUGUAACCUUUUCAAUAUUAACACUGAAAUCUAUCAUGGUUUUGUUGUGUGUUUGUAAUUUGAUUGCGUCAGUGAGUUUUCUGGGCUCUUCUAUCUUAGACUAGGGAUAUCUCAAGCAAUCUUUGUUGAAAUUCUGGCGUUUCACAAUUCUUCCUACAUACUUGACCUGCAUACUUGUUCUUGUGUGACUUGAACCUCACAAUUUUGCGCUCGGUUGCUGGCAGGAGAUGAAUCGGUAGUCGCCGGCAUUGGAUGGAGACGACGAAUUCUUCUUGUUGAAGGGUGUCGCAGCCCGGAGCUUGUCAAGCCGUGGCGACACGCCCGGAUCGUGGAGGCUUUUUGUGCACGUCAUGGUCUCAAACUAGAGUUGUUCAGUUACGAAAACCCACCUCCACCGAUCACUUCUCUACGAACCUCGAAUUCACCAUUUGCAUCACCUUUACUUGGUUCGAGAAGUCCUGGGUUGUACAGUUCAGAACCUGGACUAGAAAGCUUCAAAAAUCAUGAUGGAAUUCCUCCUCUAAGUCUUGAUCCUCACUUAAUGAAAGGGAUUCACUCGCUUCCUUCGUCGCCACCUUUAGGGUCUCGGCAACUUGCCCCACCUGUCAUGGCUCUCCAAGAAAAGCUGCAUGGCUCAAAUCAAGUGGGUGUUGUUCAUCUUGCACUUCACAGUGAUCAAAAUGGCAUGAUUUUAAGGUGGACCUCUUUUAUCCUUUUUAUCUGUACUUUACAAAUGCACUUUUCUCAUUUCUAGCACGUUUUCUGGCACUGUUUACUAUGGACAUUACUUAUGCAUCAACAUUGCAACUUCUUUUGUCUAGGCACAAUAAUAUAUUUCGAUUUAAAUUUCUGGUGCAUGUGGGGCUCUUUGUGUAUCUAUUACCUUCACGUAGCAUAAUGAUGAUGGUAAAGCGUCAAUUUUCAGAGAUUCAAUCUUUUAGGUAUGUGGCAUUAUUCGCAAUAUUUGAAUUUGACCCUUCCAAAUAUAAACAUUAAUUUCCUGUGUAGUUGGCGGAGUGACCUUUUGGCGGUAGCAGAACCAGGAGAAAACGCAACAGAGUUUCUGCAGAAUGUAAUUAAUAGCCUGCGGCUAGGAUUAGCAGGGAAGACGCGGGCGCAGCUGCCGCCAAUCUCGAAUCUAGCCGGUCUUGUCGCUGGCUUCCCAAGAUUUAGCGUCGGUGGAACCCUGUAUAGUUUCAUGGGGCGUCAUACGCAGGUUGGCUUCAUUCAAUUAUCUAUUCACAAAUGAAUUAGUGUGCAUCGACUUACACAGGGGAGCAUAAUAAUCAUGCUUCAGGGCAAGCUUUAUCAGCCUGUAUAACCAGCUCUGUAUGGCUCAUCACAUUUUACUGUUGGCUUUCAUAGACUAGGCUUUGAUUCCAGGCCAACUUGUUCCUACAAGUAUCUUUGUGAGCACUUCCCUAACGAGUUAAGACUUAAUUGGCAGGUUUUGGCAGAUGGUCAAGAGGUGGGCGCCUACAUAUUCCGCAGAAUACUUGCUUCUGUUCACCUUACUCCUGAUGAUGUGCGCUGGAUGGUGAGAUAAUAGUGAAAAUUCUGUCCAUUUCUGUAUUCUGAGAAUUUUUUUUUGUUUCUCUUUCAUGUUAAUUUGUAACGUAGCAUUGGCUAUUAAUUGGAGUAUCAUAAAACUGGACAACGAGUGGUAUAAAAGCGUUGAUGUAUACGGACUGACGUGCGGUUCCCGUAUACAGGUGGGUGGCUGGCGUGACCGCCUGGUCUUGUGCACUGGGAAGCAAGGGCCGCCAGAAACACUUGUCAAGGCUUUCUUGGAUGCAGGAGCAAAAGCAGUAGUUGUUCCUACAAUAAAGACGGAUAUGCAGGCUGCCGAAGGUGAUGUCCUGACACGAUCAGGGAGACCCAACACUCAGGAUGUGAAUGAUGCAGGUCGAUUUGUGAUUGCUGACGAUGAUGAUGAAGGGGAUUCAGAUGAAAGUAGUCCUGAGAGUGACUGGGAAGAUAGCGAUUUUGACAGGAAGGAGAAGCUAAUGGAACGGCAAGAGGCAGAAGAGAAGGAUCUGGCUGCUUUUGUCGGUGUUAUUUACGAUGCCCUCUUCCGUCAGGGCCUAGGGAUUGAGACUGCUCUUCAGCUCGCCAUGGAAGUUCAUCCCAAGCAGCACUACAAAUGCAUUAUGCCAACGACAUAGAAGAUGCUUCCACUUGCAAUGGUUGAACAUUCUCUUCUGGAUUUCUUUUGAUACAGCUACUAACGGACUAGUUUUUUUCUACGUGCAUCGAUUGAGUACCCUUGAGUGCAAGCAAGUUCAAUGUGGUUUGGUAGAUUCGACACAACCUGUUGCUAGUCCUUUUGAAUCGAGGGCAUUUAUACAGAAUAAUAAUGAGAAUAAAGAUGGUGUGGGGCGACUGAGCGAGUAUGUAUAUAUUCAGCGGACCAGAAGAUUAUUAGCACUAUUAGCACUGGUUAAUAAACUAUUUAUUUAUCCAUAAAUUCUAACUUUCAUUCUUAUCUGAUAUAAACGACUUGAUCUGAUUUUCUGGUCUCAAAAUUCAUAUUUACAUUUUUUAGCAGAUUUGUGGAGGUACUCACUGUAAUGGUACGGUGGUCUAAGAUACAGAAAAAUGACAAAAAUAUCUUGAAUGGAGUUGGAGCAACUUUGAUUGCUCGGUUCAAAACCUUCAGUUAAAUGAAUCUCGUCUCUUCUUUUUUGGCCUUAACAGUUGCAGUUUCAAGGGUAAUCUAGUUCCGGAAAGUAAUGAGGUUGCACAGGCUUUUUGUUUCUUUUCUGUUUCUUGAGGCCAGAUAUAAAUCUCAAUGCAGCAUAUAAUUGUCAACACCAACUCCAUCAAUCAGAAUCACAGUUUCUUCCCAAUGUAAUCUCAAACUUCGAAAUACUCAUGCAACUAUUUCAUCCCUUCUCUAAGUUUGAAAGUUGAUUUGCACAAGAGUUGUUCUGUCCCUGUCUAUGGCGCCGUGCUAGGGUGGGAGUCCAUGUUGGCAGGCUGAAAGCAAGCUAGUGAACUUAAUCAUCUGGGAUAGUGCUAAUAAUCCUCCGGUCCUAGCAUAGUACACACAAUUCUGAGCAGAUGUCUAUUACGUUUAUCUGCUUAAGUGUCAAUUGGCAUUGAAUUUUAGUCACACGUGUAUACAUUAAUUCUCACAUGCAAAUCC